rnacentral:lncRNA from 1 species
CAGAUAUUCAGUGUUCAAAUUUCGGUAACCACAAAGGGAUUCUGAGUGGAGGUACCCCUGAACUUUGACAAAUCUCAUAUUGGUGCUUGGUACCAGCAUGAGCAACUUUGUGGCUCAAACCAAUAGGACAAUUUGCUGAGGUCUGGGAGCACCCCCUCCAGAGAAUCCCUGAUAUCCCUAAAUUUGGUAGAGAUCUAAAGUUUAUUUUGCUGUACAACUCCCUUUUUUUUGGAGUUUUACUUGCUUCUAACACGGAAGGCAAGAUUCCCUGCUUCCAUGACGAUGGAAAGCAAGUACCUCCUUUAUGGAGUUUGAGCUCACUCCCAACAAGAAAGACGAGUUUGAGUUUUUUUCCUGCUUCAAGGAUAGUAGAAAGCAGUCUUCAACCUGAGACCCAUUCCUAGGAAUCAAACUUGACUUAUGGAGCCAAUAAAAGUCCCAUGGGAAAACUGGCCUUAUACCUUGUCUACACAGUCCCUGUACAGGGUUCCUGACAUGUGGAUCUGGAAGCCCCCUCACCACUUCAAGUUGUCCCACUUUUUCUUCGAGUUGUUGUCCCCGCUUUCUGGACCAAACCAAUGUUCAUCCUACAUAUGAUGAUUGAUGUCUCAUGCCUCCCUAAAAUGUAUAAAACCAAACUGCACUCUGACCACCUUGGGCACAUGUCAUCAGGACCUCCUGAGGCUGUGUCAUGGGUACAUGUCCUCAACCUUGGCA